rnacentral:rRNA from 1 species
UACGAAGGGGGCUAGCGUUGCUCGGAAUUACUGGGCGUAAAGCGCACGUAGGCGGUCUUUUAAGUCGGGGGUGAAAUCCUGGAGCUCAACUCCAGAACUGCCUUCGAUACUGGAAGACUUGAGUCCGGGAGAAGUGAGUGGAACUGCGAGUGUAGAGGUGAAAUUCGUAGAUAUUCGCAAGAACACCAAGUGGCGAAGGCGGACUCG